CCGCGAAGGGAUCCACCCACCUGUGGCCCUGGCAAGCGGGGUGGGGUGGGGGAGCAGCAUAGUGCCAAGGGCGUGGCCAGCGUGGCAACAGCUACGGGCUAAAUGUGCGGGAUGGGGCUGGGCAAGCAUGUGCCUGGGUUGAAUCUGAGCUGAAGGAAUGUUCAUGUUGCCCCUGUCCCAGAGGUGGGGCUCCCCGCUCAGAAUAGAACCAAGCAAGUCAGAGCUGGAAGGGGCCUUCAAGAUGAUCUGAUCCAACCCUCUUGUUUGAUAGAUGAAGCUGAGCCCCAGAAUAGUGAUGCGUCCUCGUCAAGGUCACACAGCGAGUUGGCGGCAGAACCGGAAUGAGAGCGCAGGCCUUCACUGAGUGCCUGCUUGGUGCCCCACACCGGACUAGCUCUGCACACGUGAUCUUGUUUAAACCCCGCAACAACACUGCAAGAUUUUAGGGCCUGAGAAUUGGAAGUCCCCAAUGCCCUGAUGGACAAACAGACCAAGAGACAGAGGGCUGAGGCAGC
ensembl:lncRNA